GGCUUCAGUGAGGACUAGAGCGCCUUUGCUAGAGACUCCUCACCUGCAGGAGUGCUGUGUCCCACCCACCCAGUCCUGCAAUGGAAGAAUGGGACCGGUGGAUCUGUGAGGCGCCUGGCAGAGAAGCAGUUUCAGAUUCGCAGGAGAGAAGAAAUCCAGGUGGACAGAGCAGCUGCAGAGAUCCAGGUGGACAGAGCAGCUGCAGAGAUCCAGCCUAGAGUCCAGGACUGCUACGGUGGACCACUGGAGCUCUUAAAGGACGCUGAGCUGAGAACUCUUAAAGGAUGCUGACCCGAGACCUCAUGCCAUGGAGGGAUGGAUUUAAAGCUUCACUGGGUAAAGAAAGGCACAGAAUCUUCACUUGGGGCCUGUAGAUGCCUGGGAGGCAAGCACAGCAGGCCGAAGUCUUGGCCACCACAGUGCACCUCUCUCCUCUGUUACUUUAAAUCUAGUCUGAUCCUCGCUCACUUGGCCCCAAAAUGAAAAACGAAGGUGUUUUCAACAUUUGCAAGGGACAUUAGAAUCGGCACACUCAGCUCAUAUAAUGUCCGGUUGCAGAUCCUGGGGCUGGGCCAUUAGAAGUUAUCCCUGGUCCCUGGUCCCUGGUCCCUGGUCCCUGGUCCCUGGUCCCUGGUCCUCCUCCUCCUCCUCCUCUUCCUCCUUCUCCUCCUCCUCCUCCUCCUCUUCUUCCUUCUCCUCCUCCUCCUUCUUCUUCUCCCUGCCUGCCCCCGAAGAGCAUGGCCUCUUGUUUCAUAUGAUACUGUUAUCAUGCUCCGCCUUACACAGGCCUAGAGUCUGUAGCAGACAGGACUACAGGCAGAGAGCUCUGAAACUCAUAUGUCAAAACAGACAACCACCACCCCCUUCAGUUAUGCCAGCUAUUUUGGUCAUAGCUCCACAAAAGUAACUAACAUAUGUCUAAGUAAAGUGAUUACCCCACAAUAGGAACUAAGGCUGCCCCUCAUGUAGGAACAAUUAUGUCACUGUGGGACGGGGGCUGCUGCCUAUACAGAAACAGACACCACAGCAGGAAUGGAAUAGGGAUUUGCAGAAGCAGGGCCUGAGCUGUGAUCAACUGGACCAUUUUCAGAAGGGCCGCAUGGCUGUGUCUACUUCGUUUUGCUUUCUUCAUUUCUUUUUAUGUUUUAUUGUUGCACCUCUGAAUGCAAGGCUGAGAACUCAGUACCCCUGAAUGCAGGGCUGAGGACUCAGUACCCCUGAAUGCAGGCUGAGGACUCAGUACCCCUGAAUGCAGGCUGAGGACUCAGUACCCCCGAAUGCAGGCUGAGGACUCAGUACCCCUGAAGGCAGGUUGAGGACUCAGUACCUCUGAAGGCAGGCUGAGGACUCAGUACCCCUGAAUGCAGGGCUGAGGACUCGGUACCUCUGAAUUCAGGCUAAGGACUCAGUACCCCUGAAGGACUGAGGAAGCCAGGCCCUCUAUGUUCUCAGCACAGCUGUGCCAGUUAACUCUCUUCCUGCCUUUACCUCUGCUUGUCCCCUUGAUGGGCAUCUUGAGACAGGUGGUAGAACCUAGUCUUUUGGGACCCUGGAGUCAGAGUCUUUGCGCUUAAAUGUCAGUAAUAAUAAGAUGUCAUUUUUACCAUUUCUAUAAUGUUUUUGGCCACUUACUGUUUGUAAAGUACAAUGUGGUGUACACCUCGGCUAAAGUGAAGGCUGGCCUGCCUUUCCCUUGAGCCCUGUCAAAGCAGACUCUCUUGACACUCUUUCUGCUCAGGUCAGCCACAGUCUCUCUCUGAUGCUGACAGCUGGGAACUACAAUACCCACAAACAUCGGUCCGUGGUGCACAGCAGCAUGGGUGUGGCUGAGUGAUCCAGGGAGCCACUCCAUGAGAACCACCAAGGGCAGUGUCCUGUAAGUGUGUGUGUGUGGGAGGGUCUUUCCCCAGGUGCCUUCUGUCCUGAAGGAGGCUUCCUUCCUGUCCUGGUUAGAGUUCUACUGCUGUGAUGAAACACCAUGACCAAAAGCAACUUGGCUUAUGUAUCCUGAAUCACAAUCCACCAUUGAAGGAAGUAAGGACAGGAACUCAAACUGGGUAGGAACCUGGAAACAGGAGCUAAUGCAGAGGCCAUGGCUGCUUUCUCGCUUGCUCCCUAUGCCUUGCUUAGCCUGCUUUCUUGUAGAACCCAGGACCACCAACCCAGGAAUGGCCCCAUUCACAAUGCACUAAGCCCUCCAACAACAACAAUAACAACCACUAAUUAAGAAAAUGCCCUACAAGCUUGUUCACAGCCCAAUCUGAUAGAGGCACUCUCUCAGUUGACGUUCUCUUCUCUUACAUGGCCCCAGCUUGUGUCAAGCUGACAUAAGACUAGGUAGAGAAAGGGGAGAUGAACACUAAUAAAAUGUUUUCAUGUUCUGCGCCUGACUGAGAAGGGAGGAUGGCUUUCAUAGAUGAAAAUACUGACUUUGAUGGUUUGAUGGUUUCAACUAUCAAUCUGACACAAUGUAGAGUCACCUGAGAAAUGAGUCUCAGCGAGGGGUUGUCUAGAUCAGGUUGACUUGAGGAGCGUGAGUAGUGGAGGGGUUGUUGUCUUGAUGAUAUCAAUUGAUGUGGGAAGACCCAGCCUAAAAGUGGGCGGCACCAUUCCCUAGGCUUAGGUCUUUAACUGUAUACAAAAGGAGAAAGUGAGAUGAAAGACUACCAUGCACAUGCUCAUUCUCUCUCUGCUCCUGACUGAGGCUAUGACCAGCUGCUUCAAGUUCCUGAUAUUUUUGAAUGAUGGAGUAUAAACUGGAGUCACUUGUGAGUAUAUAAGCAAGGCCAGGUACAGUUCUAAGGUCCCUGAACUUGUGCUUAGUGCAAACUAUCUACAGGACAUCCCAAAGAGGCAGGCUCAAUAUCUGUCUUAAUAUUAUAGAGGGAGACAAGGCUCAGAGCCUCACAGCUAGCUGACUGCUGAGGAGUUGAUGUGGUGGACACCAGAGACUGCACUCUUGACCCUCUGAAGCUCAUUCACAAGAAUGAACCAUUGACCAGAAACUACAGGUUCAGAGAGCCCAGCUGCCCGAGGACAUCUGAGGAGCCUCUGAGCCUGGAUCCGUGCCCAUGUUUUCCGUCUUCAGCCUUAUCUGCCCAGGAAGGAAACUAAAUAUUGACAGGGUGGGACAUGUAGUUCAUCUGCAGCUGCUGUUUUCCCAGCUGUGGAGAGGCAGUCUCCCCUCACUCGAUGAGUCAGUCCUGGACUCUAGUAGGUCCUGAAAGCCAGGGCCAAGUGUGGCCACCGUGAGAAAAUACAGAGGACAAAGAAGAUAAAACAGAUGCAUAAGCCGACACUGUUACAGCCACACGAGGCAUCUUACUCAGCAAUGAAAAACAGCAUCCCUGAGAGACAGAGCUUGCACUUCCUCUACUCCAGACCUUGUCCACACGUUGUCUUCCCGCAAGUCUGUGUUUUGCAGAACAUCACAUAAGUAUACUGGAGAGCUUGUGCCCUGUUGGGUUGGGCUUCUACCAUUGAAUGUCACACAUUGGAGCUUCCCCAUGGGUUUCUAUUCUCAGGAGUGCUGUUUUGCCUUGCCGAGUAAGAUCUGUUGUGUGGACAUAACAGUGUUUGCUUACGCAUUCAUCACGUGGGCGAAUACAGCUGCACUAGCAGUCACAUACUGGACUCUAGAGGAAUAUGCAUAUUUUACUAGAGAAACCAUCUAGAAACGGUGUUAUUGGGCCUUAUAGUCUGACCCUUAGCAUAUGCAACACAAUCCCUAUGUAGCCUAGGAUAGCCUCAAACUCAUACUUUUCCUGCCUUAGUGCUGGAAUUAUAGAUGUUUGCUGCCUUUUCG